AUCCAGACUCCUACGGGAGGCAGCAGUGGGGAAUAUUGCACAAUGGGCGAAAGCCUGAUGCAGCAACGCCGCGUGAAGGAAGAAGGGUUUCGGCUCGUAAACUUCUAUCAACAGGGACGAAAGAAAUGACGGUACCUGAAUAAGAAGCCCCGGCUAACUACGUGCCAGCAGCCGCGGUAAUACGUAGGGGGCAAGCGUUAUCCGGAAUUACUGGGUGUAAAGGGUGAGUAGGCGGCAUGGUAAGCCAGAUGUGAAAGCCUUGGGCUUAACCCGAGGAUUGCAUUUGGAACUAUCAAGCUAGAGUACUGGAGAGGCAGACGGAAUUCCUAGUGUAGCGGUGAAAUGCGUAGAUAUUAGGAGGAACACCAGUGGCGAAGGCGGUCUGCUGGACAGCAACUGACGCUGAGGCGCGAAAGCGUGGGGAGCAAACAGGAUUAGAUACCCCUGUAAG
rnacentral:rRNA from 1 species